rnacentral:rRNA from 1 species
UACGGAGGCUCCAAGCGUUAUCCGGAUUUAUUGGGUUUAAAGGGUGCGUAGGCGGAAUUGUAAGUCAGUGGUGAAAUCCUACAGCUUAACUGUAGAACUGCCAUUGAUACUGCAAAUCUUGAGUACAUUUGAUGUGGGCGGAAUGUGUCAUGUAGCGGUGAAAUGCUUAGAUAUGACACAGAACACCGAUUGCGAAGGCAGCUCACAAAACUGUAACUGACGCUGAGGCACGAAAGCGUGGGUAUCAAACAGG